CUAGUUUUUAUGUACUCUCAAGCAUGUAGAUUAACUGACACGAGGUUGUUCUGGCUUAAAUAAGGUCUCUGGUUCGUGUCUUUGUGAAUGCAGUUUCCUUAUCCGCUACACGAAGAAAGUCAAAGUCGAUGGAUAAGUCUUGCGAUUUGUUCAAACCAGAAGAAAAAAGGAAAAAAAAUAUGUGUCCAAAGAGAAAAUGAGAAAGCCUGCUAGGUUGGAAAUCCAAGUACGGUUAGCAUAGGCAAAAGGUAAAGCUAAAAAACAAAAUCUUCCUUAGGCUAAAAACCCACAAGAGCAGUCAAGAUAAAACAAGGGCAUUGCCAAAAAAGAAGACACAUCGAUACUUAGAAAAUUUGAGAUGAGUGAUAAUGUUGUGAAGUUAAGGUAAGUGGGAAGGAAACUUUGUUGCUAAAAGGGAUGUGAAGAUGUUUGCAAAUCUAAAGUCUUAGAGCUGAGAAAUGAACACAAUGUGGACAAGCCUAAUCAGUUUCUUUGAUCAGUCAUCAUUUUUAUGCAGUUUGGAAAUGCCUUAAGCAUUCAAAGGCGUUAUCGAGGUAUAAGGAGCUUGUUUGCGAGUCUAUCUUGAGAUUGUUCUGGUGCAUGGGGCUCUUUGCUAUCAGAGGAUGGACGUGGGUCCUUCUUGUCCAUUUUGGUGCUGCUUGUUUUUCCAGGAUGUCGAUGAUGUGGCUCUUCAUGCCUUUAUUACUAUGGCAUAAUGUAAUAUGGGAGAGGAGGAAUAAACUUGUUUUUCAGCGGGUGCGACUUCUAUUUGAUUUGGUGUUUCAGCAAGCCGAUGUCUUUGGUCUCCUUCUAAUUUGCGUCACGUCGAGAGAUUCCACACACCUCCAACCUUCUUGGAGUUAUCCUACACAGGGGGUGUUAAGGUCAAUUUUGAUACUUCUAUGAUUGUUUUGCAUGUGGUUGGAUUUGGAUUCAUAGUGAGGGAUCAUGAAGGUUAUAUUUUAGUUGUAGCUGCCGCUUCCCCGUUCAAUGUGCUUUAACCGGUGACUGCGGAUGCUUUAUCUUUGAGAUAGGCUUUAUCUUUAGCUUUAGAUUUGAUUUUGAAGAGAGUGAGCUUUGAGAUAGAUUGUUGAAACUCUUCAACCUUUGGUGUAAACUCAUCUUUGGUAGAUCUCAUUUACAUUCAGUUGUGUGU